UGCCUGGGCCACUGAUACCAAUCAUGCUGAGGCUAGCACAGACAGUCACAGGCACAGGGUAAGCUGAGGCCAUGGAAAUGACAUUGCUGUGUACAGAAAGGAUGGGGGUGUGACAGAGCCAGAGAAAGAGGAAAGAGUUUGCCAGGAAACCAGACUGACACAGGCUGAGUGGAAAAGAGAAGUUGGAACAGUACUCACAGACCAUCUUGGGGCCAGUAAAGGAAGUGGAAGAAAGAUUACUUGCUUUGGGGAAAGUCAUGACUUGAGCAGACGCAUAGAGAGGCUCACAUGGCAGGAAAUGAAGCCUCCCACUGACAGCAGUGUGAGUUAACUUGGAAGUGGGAUUCUUCAGCCCCAGUCAAGACUUCAGAGACUACAGUCCUGGCCAACAGUUUGAGCCCAUGAAAGGUCCUGAGCCAGAAUUACUGGGCUAAGCCAUUCCUAAAUUUCUAACUGUCAGUAUAUUUGUGAGACAAUAAGUGCUUGCUUUAAGCUACAAAGUUUUGGGGUAUUUGUUUUACAGCAAAAGAUAACUAACACAGUGCCUCUCCUCUGUGCUUCAAGAGUUCUGCUCCUCCUCUGUCAUGGCACUUACCACACUGUGUUGUAAUUACCUGUUUACAUGUCUGUCUCUUCCUCAGACUGUGAGCUUAAUGGAGAUCUUGUCUUAUUAUCUUUGCAACCUCAUCACCUGGCCCAU